rnacentral:rRNA from 1 species
CUGCGGCCAUACCAUGCCUGAUUACAUCUGAUCUCAGAAGUCAAGCAGGGCCAGGCCUGGUUAGUACUUCGAUGGGAGACUUUUCUGUGUGACCUGUAUUGUUUUGU